CCCAUAAUCAUACGCGUGAUCUAUAGUGAGUCGCUUACGAUUAAAGUCGAUUUUAACUGAGAAUAUAAUAAUAGGACGUGUGGUUCUAUUUUGUUGGUUUCUAGGACCGCCGUAAUGAUUAAUAGGGACAGUCGGGGGCAUCAGUAUUCAAUUGUCAGAGGUGAAAUUCUUGGAUUUAUUGAAGACUAACUACUGCGAAAGCAUUUGCCAAGGAUGUUUUCAUUAAUCAGGAACGAAAGUUAGGGGAUCGAAGACGAUCAGAUACCGUCGUAGUCUUAACCAUAAACUAUGCCGACUAGGGAUCGGACGAUGUUAUUUUUUGACGCGUUCGGCACCUUACGAGAAAUCAAAGUGCUUGGGCUCCAGGGGGAGUAUGGUCGCAAGGCUGAAACUUAAAGAAAUUGACGGAAGGGCACCACCAGGGGUGGGGCCUGCGGCUUAAUUUGACUCAACACGGGGAAACUCACCAGGUCCAGACACAAUGAGGAUUGACAGAUUGAGAGCUCUUUCUUGAUUUUGUGGGUGGUGGUGCAUGGCCGUUCUUAGUUGGUGGAGUGAUUUGUCUGCUUAAUUGCGAUAACAAACGAUACCUUAACCUGCUAAAUAGCCCGUAUUACUUUGGUAGUACGCUGGCUUCUUA
rnacentral:rRNA from 1 species